rnacentral:rRNA from 1 species
CGGCAGGGUUCCACCUCUUCCCAUUCCGAACAGAGAAGUUAAGCCUGCUUGCGCCAAUGGUACUGCAAUGCAAUGCGGGAGAGUAGGUAGCCGCCUCCU